AGUGAACGCUGGCGGUAGGCCUAACACAUGCAAGUCGAACGGCAGCACCGUAAGAGCUUGCUCUUACGGGUGGCGAGUGGCGGACGGGUGAGGAAUACAUCGGAAUCUACUUUUUCGUGGGGGAUAACGUAGGGAAACGUACGCUAAUACCGCAUACGACCUACGGGUGAAAGCAGGGGAUCUUCGGACCUUGCGCGAUUGAAUGAGCCGAUGUCGGAUUAGCUAGUUGGCGGGGUAAAGGCCCACCAAGGCGACGAUCCGUAGCUGGUCUGAGAGGAUGAUCAGCCACACUGGAACUGAGACACGGUCCAGACUCCUACGGGAGGCAGCAGUGGGGAAUAUUGGACAAUGGGGGAAAGCCUGAUCCAGCCAUACCGCGUGGGUGAAGAAGGCCUUCGGGUUGUAAAGCCCUUUUGUUGGGAAAGAAAAGCAGCAGGUUAAUACCCCGCUGUUCUGACGGUACCCAAAGAAUAAGCACCGGCUAACUUCGUG
rnacentral:rRNA from 1 species